GCAGGGGGGUUCUUGUGGGGUCACUGGGUCUUGAUCCGCGGGAGUGGGGUAGGAAUAGAGCCCUGAGGGACAGGGACUAUGGCGACGCGGGGGUGGGAGGUACAGAGAGGGGUGUCGAGCCUGGAGCAGGGCUAUGGCAGGGACACUCACUGGGGCAUGGGCAGCGACAGGCGAAGAAGGUUCAGGGCCAGGUGGACAGUCAUGUCUCAAUUCAGGAAAGAGAAGUGCAGGCAGGAUUGGGUGCGGGAGAGCCAGGCCCAUCACCAGCACCGAGUUAGGGGUCUGCAGAGCUGAUUGGAGGGUGGGUUUGGAGGGGCAAGGAAAACAGCAGCAGGCACUCCUGGAGUGGCCGCCUGUCCCCCUGCUCUCAGAGGGUACCUCCAGCUCAGAAGGACCCAGUCUGAGUCCAGGGUUUUCCGUGGAGAGGAUGGAGAAGCCUCAGUCCGCCAGCCCUCUCCCCAGUAGAAAUGCAGAAAGCUCACAGCUGGAAUUAGGGAGAGGAUGGGGAUACUAGUCAGUGAGCCAGCCUCCCCCGACCUAAGGCUAGAGGCCCAGAGAUUGUUUUCCCAUUGACUCUUCAUUUUCCACUGCCCAAGGAUGAACUCAAACACAGGAGAUAGGAGAUGAUUUGGAUGAAGUGAUAAAGAAAAGGCUUCACUCCAAGAAAAAAAAGAAAAAGAAAAGAAAAUGAAAAGACCUGCAGGAGCAAGAAGCCCUUUCCAGGGUGUGCUUAUGAGGAAGAAGGGAAUUAUGGUGAUAGCUACCACUUAAGCACUUACCUUGUUCCAGGUGCAAUAACGGUGUUUUACAGGCAUUAUUUUAUUUAGUCCCCCAAAAUAAAGCUAUUACGUACCUUUUUAUCAUUACCCCUAAUAAAACUAAUGAUUAGACUGUUUAAAAACCUACCUGGGUCAUACGGACAGUUACCAGUGGACCCAAGAUUCAAACCUUUGUAUUUCAGAGUCCAGAAUAUAUAUUUUUACCCCUACUUUGUAGGAUAAGAAAAUGCAGCCCAGUCAACCAGCCAAGGUCUACCAUUUGCUAUAGGACACGAGAUGACCAAGGUUUCACAUAAUAAUGGUAAUUCAGUUCUGCACAUUAGCUCUCCCUGCCAUCAUCCAUCCGGUUCAUAGAAGUGGACAGGAUAUGAGGAAGGCUUCAGUGAUCACUGUCCUAGCCAGAUUCUGCCCCAGGACCACAAGCUUAAACUCCAGAUGCCCAAGCCCCGGCUUAUAAAUGGUUCCCCUCGCCAUGUUUCCCAAGCUGUGGAGGAGUGGGAAGGUUGAGUGGAGGAAGGGAUAUCUGCCUCCAACCACGCUAGACCCGACCUGCUGUCACCGCCCGCCCCAGCUGGAUCCAGAAUGGAAACCUGGAAUAGCAGGCAAAGCCACCCCCGACACUCCAUGUUCCUCCCCAGAACCAGCUCCCUCUCCUACCAGCUGAAUUUUCAGGACAGAGCUGCCAGGUGGCCAGUCCACAGGUGGAAGUGGAAGGAGAUUGAAAGGACCUGGGAAGAGGUUCAUUGGUCAUGGUGCCUGGCUGGUGCUUUCCAAAGCCAAGGUUGCUGGUGUGUGCCUGACAGUUCCAUAGGAAGUAGGGACUUCUGGGAGGGAGGAGGAGGUGGAAGGUGCCCUGGUCAGCAAAGUGGGGUCCAAGCCUUCUAGUCCCAACUGGGCACAUCACUUCAUCUCUGAGAGUCUCAUUUUCUUCAGCCACAACUAAUGAACAAAGUCUCCUUCAGCUCCCAAAUCCGAAUAGCUUUAAGGAUAUCCCCUGCUUGCUGCUUGUUAUUAUGUCAGGCCCUGUGCUAAGCGCUUUGCAUAUAUUACCUCAUUUAAUCCCCAUUUUGGAAGUCAGGAAACAGCCUCUGAGACAUUUUGUAACUUAGCUAAGGUCACUCAGUUGACAAAUAGUGAAGUGAUGGGAUUCAGUAGCCUCUGCUGCUAGCCACUGCCUCAGGGCAGGUAAUUAUUUCUAUGAAUUCAGCAGGGCCAAGCCAACUAGACUAAGCAAAAGAAAUGAGGAUCCAAAAAAAUUCAUGCGCUUUUUCAUGCGCGGUGAAUGCAGGAAAAGUCAUAUAUAUAUAUGGCUAUGUAAAUCAGCAACUGCAAUAUUUGAAUCAGCAUGAAUAAAAAACCAUUCCUCUGUCUCUUAAAAAAAUAGGCAGAUCUGUUUUCUUCUUCCUCAUUUCUAUCUGAGCCUCUGUACCAAGGAGAAACGGGAAUAAGACAGGACUAGAUUCUUCCCAAACACCAGGUGAUGCGGUCAGUGAGGAGAGCUCCAGAAUCAAAAGAUGAAGAAGGACCUGCCUCUAGCCCCCAAGAGGUAUGCUGUUCUUCCCACACAUCUCAGCUCUCUCCCAGCACUGAGUCCAGCCCUCCACAGAAAGGGGAGGAAAAUGCCCACCCCUAGCCCUGCCCUUCCCCAACCCUCCACACAUCACUCCUUCUUCUUCCUGCCCUCCUGCACAGUCUGAUAAUGGUGCUCUCUCUUGCUCAGCCCUUUAGCCCUGCAGACCUAGGACAGGGCAUGACUUGGGAAGGCUCCUGUGCACAGGGUGCACUGGAGGAGGUGCCCCAGGCCCUGGGCCAUGGAGAUAAUUGUGUAUCUGCUUCUCUUUUACCUUUUGGGUGGGUAGCCUCUCCUUUUUUAAGGGACACUGACUUCAACCAUGUCUACUAAUCCCUCAGUAUGGCUCCCUGGGCACUCAAGAGCAACAGUUCCAGGCAGGGACCCCCACAUCCUACUCUAAUUACUACUGCAGACACAGAGGAGACCAAUUCCAUUCCUUCCCUGGCCUCUUGGAUUCUUUGUUUACUCACCUCUUUCCAGUGACCACGUCUCCCACUUCCCCUUCCCCAGCAAUACUCCCCUGUCAUCCUCACCUCUCCCCUCCCCCCAGCUCAUUUCCCAGAACCCACCAUCCAUUUAUCUUCUCUACUUUAUACAACACUGCUGGGAGGAAGGGCUCUUCCUCAGUGGAGCCCAGGAACCUCCAUGAGGAGCCCAUUUCUCCCUUCACAACCAAAAAAUUGCUUCCUGUAGAAUAACAAGCAGAGGGAAAAGGCUGGAAGGAGAUAUGUUAUCGGGGUGUUCUCCAGGGGGUGGGACUGUAGGUGACUGACAUGUUUGUUUUUCAUACUUUUCUCUAGGUUUUACGUUUUCUAUUAUGAGCAGAUUACUUUUAUAAUCAGUAAAUAUUUAGAGGAGAGGUUAAACCACAGCUCUUCGAAGAAGACAGGGCUAUGUUUGAAUCCUGCCUCCACAGUUAGGAGUCAUGCUUCCUUGGAAAAAUCUAACUUUCUAAACCUCAGUUGGCACAUCUGUGAAAUAAUACCUACUUCACAGGGUUGUUGCUAUGAUUAAAUAUAAAGUGCUGGCUACAGGGCAGGCAUUCACAAACUGGCAACUAUUACUUAAACUAAUAAGAGUUAAAAUCGCAACCACCACCACUUGCCCCUAAGUGUUCUCUGCCUCUUGGUACCCAGACAUGGGAAAGUCUCACCUAUUAUAGAACUGGGCUAUCCUUCCCUUCCAAAGCCCACUUUUUUUUUCUUUACUAUGCCAUAAGGUGGCAAAGUCAGUAACCUCGUGUAUCAUUAGCUGGUUGACUGAAUGACUGAAAAUACAAGGACUUUGGAAUAGUCUUUCUCCAAGUGCAGAGGCAAAAAAUAAAUAAGCAAACAAAUAAAUUUCAUAUACGUAUGAUCACUGUACUCUUCCAGUGAGGCAGGAGCCAGGGCCUAUGCCAGGCGCUUUCAUACCGAGUCACCUUUACAGCAAACCCCUCGGGCGCUGGGCACUUGCAGUACCCAGGUUUCCGCGUGGGCGCUGACAAAUUGCAGACACUUCCUUUCCUCGCCAGCAGGGCUCUCUCGCGGUCACUUCACCCAGCCCCUUCCGAGCGAGAAGGCCUUGGGGGCCGGGACAACCCCUCCCCAGAACCACCCUGACUAGGCUCUUUGCAGCCAGCAUCACUACCGAGCUAACCAAUAUGGACCAGCCUGCGCUGCACAGGGCGCUUAGGCGAUCGUUGGAGGGUCAUGAGGAUCAGCCUGUCCGCCCACCGACGGCGGCGCAGUGGGAUGGGGAACGGGGUGGGGGCCGAAAGACGGGAGGAAGGAGUCGCUGCAGUGUCUCCAGGCGAUGGUUGCCAGCGUCUCACUGGGGAGGAAGUUCCUCCUGUCAUCCAACCCGCAGUUCCCCUCUUGCAGAGCCCUGCCGAGCUCCCAGUCCAGCCUAGGCUGUCUAACGGAUGGGCGCUCAGACGCCCCCGCGAGUUGAGGAGCAUUUUUCCUAGGGCUUCCAAGUCGGGCGGGCGCCUUCCACCAUCCACCACCCACGUCUCGGCAAGGACCCCUUUUCUUUCUGCUCCUAGGUCUUCCGCAUCCACUUCCAUCCCUCUCUCGCCCUCCAGGGCUUUCUCAGGCGCCUCUCGCAGCGGACCC
rnacentral:lncRNA from 1 species